UACGUAGGGGGCAAGCGUUGUCCGGAUUUAUUGGGCGUAAAGAGCGUGUAGGCGGCCAUACAGGUCCUUGUGAAAACUGGGAGGCUUAACCUCCAGACGUCGAUGGAAACCGUAUGGCUAGAGUCCGGAAGAGGAGAGUGGAAUUCCUGGUGUAGCGGUGAAAUGCGCAGAUAUCGGGAAGAACACCCGUGGCGAAGGCGGCUCUCUGGGACGGUACUGACGCUGAGACGCGAAAGCGUGGGGAGCGAACAGG
rnacentral:rRNA from 1 species